rnacentral:rRNA from 1 species
UGGGGAAUCUUGCGCAAUGGGCGAAAGCCUGACGCAGCAACGCCGCGUGCGGGAUGAAGGCCUUCGGGUCGUAAACCGCUUUCAGUGGGGACGAACCAAGACGGUACCCACAGAAGAAGCCCCGGCCAACUACGUGCCAGCAGCCGCGGUAACACGUAGGGGGCAAGCGUUGUCCGGAUUCAUUGGGCGUAAAGAGCUCGUAGGCGGUUCGAUAAGUCGGGUGUGAAACCUCCAGGCUCAACCUGGAGACGCCACCCGAUACUGUCGUGACUAGAGUCCAGUAGGGGAGCGUGGAAUUCCUGGUGUAGCGGUGAAAUGCGCAGAUAUCAGGAGGAACACCAGCGGCGAAGGCGGCGCUCUGGGCUGGAACUGACGCUGAGGAGCGAAAGCGUGGGGAGCGAACAGGAUUAGAUACCCGAGUAGUCCCUGAGCGGGCUGGCAAGGCGCAU